rnacentral:sRNA from 1 species
CAGGGGGCCCUGCGCGAGGCAAGAGGCGUGGUCGCAAGGCCUGGGUUGCCACCAGCUUACCCAUCCCCUGGAGCUAAAGGGGGCGUCCAGCGUUCGAUUUCCCGUGUGCCUGUCUCCAUCCUGGAAUUCCUGACCUCUAUGGAGUGUUCAUUGUGCGCCAAGCACCGUUCCUCAAGACGAGUAGCUGAGGGGGCGUCAUCCUUACUUUUCAGACGAGCAAACUGAGGCCCGAGGAUUUCCCACCUGCACGAUGGCAGUUCCUGCUUCACUGUUCUGCAAGUGUCCACUCUUCACCCAUGGAGUUAGUCACACAGCAGCCAAGUCCCAAGCCGGGUCUGGUGAUGCACACCCUACGCACAGGAAGCAGAGGCAGGCAGAUCUCAGUUCCAGGCCAUCCAGGGGUACAUAGGGAAAUCCUAUCUUAAAAUUCAUAAUAGAGGGGCUGGAGAGAUGGCUCACUGGUUAAGAGCACUGACUGCUCUUCCAGAGGUCCUGAGUUCAAAUCCCAGCAACCACAUGGUGGCUCACAAUCUGUAAUGAGAUCUGAUGCCCUCUUCUUGUGUGUCUGAAGACAGCUACAGUGUACUCAUAUACAAUAAAUAAAUAAAAUCUUUAAAAAAAUUCAUAAUAGUAAUAAUAAUUCUAAGUGUAACAAAAGUACAUUAAAAUAAUUAUUGAUUCAAGUGCAAUGUUAUACUGAAAUGUAUUCAGACAUAUGCAUAAUAUUUAUAUAUGUAUAUGCUCAGAGUAGAACAGAUAGGAACAGUAAAAACAAAUUGAAUUAUGUCAGAAAAAGAUCCAAAAAGAAGCCAGUCGUGCUGCUGAGUAACAUCUGGCAGGCCCUAGAGUCAGAAUCGAAAGCAGCUGGGUGACAUCAGGUAAAUGAUCAGUGAAGACGCCACUUUUAUCCUUCCCUGUUUGCCCAGUCCCCAGGAAGGGAUUGACUUGUGUCCCUUCUUCGAAGUAGGGUUGGUUCUAAGACUGUUGCCCAAAAGACACACAAGUCCUAGGGUGAAGCCCUCAAGCCUAGGGCUUAAGAAUGCUGACAGCUCCUACUUUCUCCUUCCUGGCCCCAACUCUCCCUCUCUGAGAAGCCAGAGGGAAUGGGAGCACACCAGUUCACAGAGGCUGAGAUCCCAGGCAAGACCCAACAGCAUCUGCCUGCCUUGAUCUUAAAGCUGCAGCCCAAGUUAGUUUCGAACUCACGGCGGUCCUGGCAUCUGAAGGGCAGCAGCACACCCAACUUUUCUUCUUGUACUUCUUCUCCCCCAUUCAUGUAAUCUUUGCUCGGAUGCCGAUGACCCCCAUUUCAGAGAUGCGGGAAAGGAGGCUUUGAACAAAUCAGUCACUCAACCAAGGAUGUACACCUGGCCAAGCCUCGGGCUCUUCCUCAUUGCACCUCUUCACCUAUGUGCAAGCAACAGAUCUUUCCAACAGUCUUCUGGACAUUCCUAGAGGUAGCUCAGCCCUUGACCUUUUGGCUACAAUCAAGAGUAGCAACAGAACUGAAGUUGAUGGCACACAGGGGAGACGGAGGCAGGUAGAUCUGAUUUUGAGACCAGCCUGGCCUACAGAGAGAAUUCCGGGACAUCCAAGGCAACAAAGAGAGACCCUGUCUCAAAAGUAAAAUAAAAUAAAAUAAAAUGCUGAGUACAAUCACCACAGAGCCUGCUCAUCA